GUCAAGUAUGGUACAAAUAGUGCUCCCUUAUGUUCCCGAAUGAGGAAAGCUUCUCGGUUGGGAACUUGACAAAUCCAAGUCAUUGAGUAAACACGAAACUUCUAAGUACCGAUGUGUAGUAGCAUAUAUAGUAGUCCCCUAAGUCUCUAGGCGAGGAGAAGAGGCCUAGCUUUUGUUGAAAUUGGCCCGAGGCCUACUCGAAACCUAGCCUUCCACCCUUGCUCCACCCGUGCCUUCUUCCCCGCACAGCCUCUUUUUUUCCUAGUUUUAGUAACCCAGUCUCUCCAUCCUUCCCCAUCUUCUUCGUUUUACUAGUUUUUUGUUUUGCAGUCACCCAUUUCCUUCAACACCGAAAUUCUUGCUCCUUUGCUUAAGUCCAGGCCUUCCCCAUCUGACUGUGGUCAAGAUUCUCAAGUGAAAUAGUAUCCCGUUUAAUUCAGUCGAUGUUGUUAGGGUCGCGGCGAGAGAGCUAGGGGAACGGAGACAGAGGCAAGCGCGGCGCUAGACGGGCAGGUCCCAGGGGUGAUAUUUGUUGCUAAAAACGGGUUUGGGUUCAAGCUCGGGCUGCUAGGUUUUGACAGUAGUGUCGGAGGUCAGAACUCCCUAGUCACGUCCCUUCCACACAGGCAUUCACCGCUGCGAGACAAAGGGUUUGGUGGUUCCACUUGGGUCCUCACAAAAAAUCAAAGUCUUGAACUUGGUUGCUUUUAACUUCACUCCAAGAUAUAAAUUUCAGGAGCUUGGAGGAGAAGGGGUUAUUGGGGUUUUGAUUUGAGUUUUGAAGGAGGUGGGUUAAAGGUUGAAAGCUGCCCAAAGCUCGCUGGUUGCUGAAGCUCUGGUUUGAAUUCAUUAGAAAAGCUUGAGGAGUGAGUGAAGGAUCAAAGAAGUGAGUUGUUGCAGAAAGCUGUUCUCGAAUUUGAAGGCCUGGGUUUGCAGCUUAAGAGGGGUUGAAGUUGGGUUUUGAUGCGGGCUGCCUUGGGGUUUAUUACGGUCUAGGCAAUGGGUGCCGCUGGUGAAGUUUGAUUGAGAAGGAAAGAGCGAGGGGAAAGGGGAGGUAGCGGUAGGGGUGUUGUCAAGCCAAGGUUAUUUUCUGUUGGUACUGUCUGUACCCAAUGAAAACAUUGAUACUUGAGUGUUUGAUUGCAUUCCUCUUUUCUGUAAUCAACCAACAUUUAAUG